AUCCAAGUUAAAUGGGUUUCUGUCUCAUUUUCAACCCUAUUGAUGGUUUUAAAUUCAAGUUAAAUGGGUUUCCGUCUCAUUUUCAACUCUAUUGAUGGUCUUCUCUGGAUGUUUAUUGGAAAGGAGCAUCAAGCUCACCACCCUGUGAAGUGAAUAAUUUAUUUCAUCUGCAGCCUAAUAAACUGCAGGCGUUCCUGACCAGUCGUAGUGGGAGGACCACACAACAUGUCAUCACAUAACUCAUGUUCUCAUGUCUCACGGUUGAAUCAGAUUCACACAGGACUCUAGUCAAAUGUAGUGCACUGUCCAGGGACUGCGGUGUCAUUUGUCCACGGGACUAUGGUCAUACAUGGUCAGCAGAGUUCCAUACAGUCUUUUAGGUCCGAGCCCCUAGUGGUGUGAGUCUAGGAGUAGAAACCCUGCUAUAAUAUCCAUUACAUUGCCUUGUAGUUUUUGGACACGAGAGGUUUUUCUAAUAGAUGAUGGUGUGAAAAACAGAUCUAGUCUAACUCAUCGGUCUAGAAAGCCAAACUAUUUGAGCUUGGUUUGCUUCCUGGAAUGUCUGUGCUUGCGUGUAAAACAUGAUGAUGGUGUUCCUCCCAUCAGUUAAUUGAAGAUGUUAGAAAAGGGAUUAUUUUCAGCUGUGGUUCCUCUCCUGGGAGAGAAAAUCACCCCCCCGAAGGGCCUCUAGUCUGGAGUGUCAUACAGAGGCUACAUCCUAAAAUGGCACCCUAUUCCCUACAUAGUGCACCACUAUCCUAUGCGUCCUGGUCUAAAGUAGUGCACUACAUAGGGGUGAGGGUUCCAUUUGGGAUGUAGACAGACACUAUACCGCUAGCUGCAGAUGCAGUUGAUUUGAUGCAGUGAAUUACAUCUUUUAAAAAGCUUCAUCAACAUCUGAAGGUAAGGGUGAACUAGGUUUAGGAGCUGUUAAAUCAACCCACACAUCUUCAUCAACAUCUGAAGGUAAGGAUGAACUAGGUUUAGGAGCUGUUAAAUCAACCCACACAUCUUCAUCAACAUCUGAAGGUAAGGAUGAACUAGGUUUAGGAGCUGUUAAAUCAACCCACACAUCUUCAUCAACAUCUGAAGGUAAGGGUGAACUAGGUUUAGGAGCUGUUAAAUCAACCCACACAUCUUCAUCAACAUCUGAAGGUAAGGGUGAACUAGGUUUAGGAGCUGUUAAAUCAACCCACACAUCUUCAUCAACAUCUGAAGGUAAGGGUGAACUAGGUUUAGGAGCUACAAGAUCCAACCCACACAUCUUCAUCAACAUCUGAAGGUAAGGGUGAACUAGGUUUAGGAGCUACAAGAUCCAACCCACAUAUCUUCAUCAACAUCUGAAGGUAAGGAUGAACUAGGUUUAGGAGCUGUUAAAUCAACCCACACAUCUUCAUCAACAUCUGAAGGUAAGGGUGAACUAGGUUUAGGAGCUACAAGAUCCAACCCACACAUCUUCAUCAACAUCUGAAGGUAAGGGUGAACUAGGUUUAGGAGCUGUUAAAUCAACCCACACAUCUUCAUCAACAUCUGAAGGUAAGGAUGAACUAGGUUUAGGAGCUGUUAAAUCAACCCACAUAUCUUCAUCAACAUCUGAAGGUAAGGGUGAACUAGGUUUAGGAGCUGUUAAAUCAACCCACACAUCUUCAUCAACAUCUGAAGGUAAGGGUGAACUAGGUUUAGGAGCUACAAGAUCCAACCCACAUAUCUUCAUCAACAUCUGAAGGUAAGGGUGAACUAGGUUUAGGAGCUACAAGAUCCAACCCACACAUCUUCAUCAACAUCUGAAGGUAAGGGUGAACUAGGUUUAGGAGCUGUUAAAUCAACCCACACAUCUUCAUCAACAUCUGAAGGUAAGGGUGAACUAGGUUUAGGAGCUACAAGAUCCAACCCACAUAUCAUUCCUGCUCCGCUCUGCAUUAUUUGGUGUUUUACGUUGUACACCGAGGAUAUAUUUUCAGAAUUCUACAUGUGGAGUCUCAAUUUGGUAUCUGUCCCAUUUUGUGAAUUCUUGGUUGGUGUGCGGACCCCAAACCUCACAACCAUAAAGGGCAAUGGUUUGAUUCAAGUAUAUUUUUUUUUAGUCCGAUCUUAAUUGGUAUGUUGAAUUUAAGUUCCUUUUGAUGGCAAAGAAGGCCCUUCUUGCCUUGUCUCUCAGAUCGUUCACAGCUUUGUGGAAGUUACCUGUGGCGCUGAUGUUUAGGCAGAGGUAUGUCUAGUUUUUUGUGUGCUCUAGGACAAACGGUGUCUAUAUGUAAUUUGUAUUUUUGGUCUUGGCAACUGGACCUUUUUUGGAACACCAUUAUUUUUGUCUUACUGAGAUUUUCUGUCGGGUCCCAGGUCUGACAGAAUCUGUGCAAAAGAUCUAGGUGCUGCUGUAGGCUCUCCUUGGUUGGGGACAGAAGCACCAGAUCAUCAGCAAACAGACAUUUGACUUCAGAUUCUAGUAGGGUGAGGCUGGGUGCUACAGACUGCUCUAGUGCCCUCGCCAAUUCGUUGAUGUAUAUGUUGAAGUGGGUGGGGCUUAAGCUGCAUCCCUGUCUUAGCCCAUGGCCCUGUGGAAAGAAAUGUGUGUGUGUUGCCAAUUUUAUCACACUUGUUGUUUUGUGUACAUGGAUUUUAUAAUGUCGUAUGUUUUUCCCCCAACACCACUUUCCAUCAGUUUGUAUAGCAGACCCUCAUGCCAAAUUGAGUGGAAGGCUUUUCUGAAAUCAACAAAGCAUGAGAAAACUGCCUUUGUUUAGGUUUGUUUGUCAAGUGGGGUGUGCAGGAUGAAUACGUGGUCUGUCGUACGGUAAUUUGGUAAAAAGCCAAUAUGACAUUUCCUCACUACAUUGUUUUCAACUGAGGAAAUGUACAAGUCUGCUGUUGAUGAUAAUGCAGACGAUUUUCCCAAGGUGGUUAUUGACGCAUAUCAAUUGGAAUUUGUGGUCUGUAUAUUUUAUCUUUUCAUUUAGGAUACUGUCAACACCACAGGCCUUUUUGGGUUGGAGGGUUUGUAUUUUGUCCUGUAGUUCAUUCAAUGUAAUUGGAGAAUCCAGUGGGUUCUGGUAGUCUUUUAAUAGUUGAUUCUAAGAUUUGUAUUUGAUCAUGUAUAUGUUUUUGCUGUUCUUUGUUAUAGAGCCAAAAGGAUUGGAGAAGUGGUUUAUCCACACAUCUCUGUUUUUGGAUAGAUGGCUCUUCGUGUUGUUUCUUUAGCAUUUUCCCAGAAGUGGUUAGAUUCUAUGCAUUCUUCAAUUACAUUGAGCUGAUUUCAGACGUGCUGUUCCUUCUUUUUCCGUAGUGUAUUCCUGUACUGUUUUAGUGAUUCACCAUAGUGAAGGCGUAGGCUCAGGUUUUCUGGGUCUGUUUUUGGUUGGACAGGUUUCUCAAUUUCUUUCUUUAGGUUUUUUUUUGCUUCAUCAAACCAUUUGUCAUUGUUGCUACUUUUCUUAGGUUGUCUUGGCAGUUUUGAUUUGAUAGGGAAGCUGAGAUAUACUGUUUGUUUUCUACUGCCAAGGUUACAUCUUCAGUAUUACAUUUUGUCCAGGCAGUUGUCUAACGGGUUGAAUUUGCCUAAUAGUUUUUUUGGUUCGGUUUCCACACUACUUUCCUUCCAUCUAUAGCAUUUCUUAAUAUUAUUCAGUUGCCUUGGCUUUGAUGCUUCAUGAUUUGAGUAUUGCUCUUUUUCGAAUAGACUGUGAUGUUGCUGCGAUCUGAUAGGGGUGUCAGUGGGCUGACUGUGAACUCUGAGAGAAUGUGGGUUGAGGUCAGUGAUAAAGUAGUCUACAGUACUACUGCCAAGAGAUGAGCUAUAGGUACCUACCAUAGGAGUCUGGGUUGAGGUCAGUGAUAAAGUAGUCUACAGUACUACUGCUAAGAGAUGAGCUAUAGGUACCUACCAUAGGAGUCUGGGUUGAGGUCAGUGAUAAAGUAGUCUACAGUACUACUGCUAAGAGAUGAGCUGUAGGUACCUACCAUAGGAGUCUGGGUUGAGGUCAGUGAUAAAGUAGUCUACAGUACUACUGCCAAGAGAUGAGCUGUAGGUACCUACCAUAGGAGUCUGGGUUGAGGUCAGUGAUAAAGUAGUCUACAGUAUUACUGCCAAGAGAUGAGCUGUAGGUGUACCUACCAUAGGAGUCUGGGUUGAGGUCAGUGAUAAAGUAGUCUACAGUAUUACUGCCAAGAGAUGAGCUGUAGGUGUACCUACCAUAGGAGUCUGGGUUGAGGUCAGUGAUAAAGUAGUCUACAGUACUACUGCCAAGAGAUGAGCUAUAGGUACCUACCAUAGGAGUCUGGGUUGAGGUCAGUGAUAAAGUAGUCUACAGUACUACUGCCAAGAGAUGAGCUGUAGGUGUUCCUACCGUAGGAGUCCCCUCGAAGCCUACCAUGGACUAUGUGUAUAUACCCAGCGUGUGACAGAGCUGCAGGAGUUGACCCGUUUUGUUGGUUAGAUUGUCGUAGUUGUGCCUAGGGGGUUAUAUGGAUGGGUAAGGGAAUGCUGUCACUUCCAGGUAGGUGUUUGUUGCCACAAAUUAGUACAUGUCCCUGGGCCUGGAAAUGAUUGAUUUUCCCCCUCCAGGAUGGAGAAGCUGUCUGCAUUAAAGUAUGGGUAUUCUAGUAGGGGGGUAUAGGUAGCACACAGCAGGACGUUUUUCUCUGUUUAGUUCAUUUCCUUUUGAAUUUCUAGCCAAAUAUAAAAUGUUCCUGUUUUGAUUAAUUUAAGAGCGUGAGUUAGGUCUGCUCUAUACCAAAUAAGCAAAGCCCCUGAGACCCUUCCCUGUUUCACACCUGGUAGUUUGGUGGAUGGGACUACCAGCUCUCUGUAACCAAUGAGUCCAUCUCUAUACCCUGUUUUUUGUAGGAUGACAAUGUCUGUAUUUCUUUAGUGAAGUCUGGGUUCCUGCUCUUUAGACCAAAGGCAGAUGACCUCAGGCCUUGGUUAUUCCAGGAUGAUAUAGUGAAGGCUUUGUGUUCCAUAAAGUGUCCAAUGUUGUUAAUCGUGUGGUUUGGCCUCAGACCAGUAAGUGUGAGCAGAACCUGCUGAGCAUCUGGUACAUGCCAUUGGCUUGUUGAGGCCCUCUUUGUGGGAGUGGGGGGCAUGGGGUGGGCAGGAGUGGCAUAGGUCUGAUCUGAGGGGGCCUAUAUGGGUUGUAGGAAUGGUUAUUAUGCAUUUCUCUCUUGAACUCUCGCUCGCUCGCUCUUUUCUGUCAUUUGUUUCCCCUCUUCUUUGAUCGUAAUGGAAACCAGGUUUGUGGUUUCUUGGUUUAGCGUCUACGUACUGGGCCCUUUUGUCUCUGAGCUGAAAUGUUUUCAUAUGUGUGUCUCCAGAGAGGGAGAGACCCUCUCUUUACGAUGAGAUGUCUCCAUCUCUCUCUCUUUACGAUGAGAUGUCUCCAUCUCUCUCUCUUUACGAUGAGAUGUCUCCAUCUCUCUCUCUUUACGAUGGGAUGUCUCCAUCUCUCUCUCUUUACGAUGGGAUGUCUCCAUCUCUCUCUCUUUACGAUGGGAUGUCUCCAUCUCUCUCUCUUUACGAUGAGAUGUCUCCAUCUCUCUCUCUUUACGAUGAGAUGUCUCCAUCUCUCUCUCUUUACGAUGAGAUGUCUCCAUCUCUCUCUCUUUACGAUGAGAUGUCUCCAUCUCUCUCUCUUUACGAUGAGAUGUCUCCAUCUCUCUCUCUUUACGAUGAGAUGUCUCCAUCUCUCUCUCUUUACGAUGAGAUGUCUCCAUCUCUCUCUCUUUACGAUGGGAUGUCUCCAUCUCUCUCUCUUUACGAUGAGAUGUCUCCAUCUCUCUCUCUUUACGAUGAGAUGUCUCCAUCUCUCUCUCUUUACGAUGAGAUGUCUCCAUCUCUCUCUCUCUUUACGAUGGGAUGUCUCCAUCUCUCUCUAUUUACGAUGGGAUGUCUCCAUCUCUCUCUCUUUACGAUGGGAUGUCUUCAUCUCUCUCUCUUUACG